UUUAUACUCCGUUCUUAUACUGUAAUACACACCAAAAUAAAAGGUUGAAACAAUCACUUGUAGGAAAUAUCCGCAGAGCCAGUGAAGAGAUGGAUCUGGUUACCAGACAACUACAAAUCACUUGCAUACAUAGUGCAAGUCUGCAACCUGUAAUAACACACUCAUGUUGAUCUGAUAUAAGUAUACACAUUAUGAAGCUGGUGCACACAUCCUCAAUGUGAAAAAAAAAUUGAUUUCGCUGAAAGAUAAAUGGAGGAAAGUACAUGGAGUAUGAUCCUAGGAUUUAUCUGUCAGCGACUCCUUUUCAUAUGACUAUAAGAGAGAGAAAAAUCGUUCAUUGCGCUCGUGGACCUGCGGUAACAAAAAAGUAUAGAUUAGACAGUGCCCAUAUUGAUACUCAUCAACUCAUGUUUGCCUAAAACGCCAUUAAAUCACUCCAUGAGUAAUCAGUAACAUCCAGAUCACAUAUUUAUUUGAAUAGAGAAAGAUAUUAUAGCCAGAAAAAGACUAAUUUCUAAACUAUGUUAUAUAGUUUUUAUAUCAAGGCUAACCGAUCUUACAGCACUGGAUAAUCUUACAUCAAAGACAGCUUACCUUGGAUCGGCACACAGGAAAUUUACACAUGACAGAUCCUCCACAUGAACCGCUGACUCAAGCAGGAGAUGAAGAAGCCUAGUGCUACGAUGACUGUUGACUGUUGAAUGGGCGGAUUGAGGCGACGAAAGAUGUGAAGGGCUUCCAACAACUUGACUAACAACACCAGCAACAAUUAUAGAGAGAAAAACAACAUCAUUAAUGGGGGAGGAGGAGCGCAGGGGUACAAAAUAUCUGCAACACGGAAGAAGACAUAGCAUCAACAUAGGCAAGAAAAGCAUAUAUACGGAUAUCUGGGCGUGAACUAAGGAGGAUGAGGCAGCGGGAUUAUAACGCACAUCCACCGUCGGCGCCGGAGAGUAACGCGCCUCAACCGCCAUUAUUGAUUGUAACUCCGCUGCUCCGACUCUCUACAUUCGCGCAUCAAUGCC
rnacentral:lncRNA from 1 species